ACAUCAAAUUAGUUAAAAUUAUCUUUAAAAUUUUUUUGUAAAUCACAAGACCAAGCGGCCACUGACCUACUGUGUGAGUGUAACUACACUUAAACUAGUAACAGUUGACACUUAUUUUGAUUAGAUGUCAUUGUGAUGUGUUCUACUCAGCUUUUGCAAGCCUUUAAACAAAGAGAAAUAUAUUGAAAACUGUAAGAUGACCGGUAAAGGGUCAGACCAUGAAGAACGUGUCCUUGCAUUUGCCGUACCAACGAGGGACACCCAGGCGUUGCAAGAGCUGCACGGAUAAUAAAAGACAAACAAGAACAAAAGCAACAGGAUAAAAAUGUAAUAUUUGGUUUUGAGGAUUGUCACAUGUAGUAGUACACUUAUAUCAUAAGAAACAUACUUUUGUA